rnacentral:rRNA from 1 species
ACAGUCACACAUUAGACUACCCUGUAGUCCUGGCCGUAAACGAUGUAGACUUGGUGUUGGAAUGGCUCCGAGCUGCUCCAGUGCCGAAGGGAAGCUGUUAAGUCCACCGCCUGGGAAGUACGGUCGCAAGACUGAAACUUAAAGAAAUUGGCGGGGAGCACCACAACGCGUGGAGCCUGCGGUUUAAUUGGAUUCAACGCCGGACAUCCCACCAGGGGCGACAGCAGAAUGAUGGCCAGGUUGAUGACCUUGCUUGACAAGCUG